CCUACGGGCGGCAGCAGUGAGGAAUAUUGGUCAAUGGGCGCGAGCCUGAUCCAGCCAAGUCGCGUGAAGGAUGACUGCCCUACGGGUUGUAAACUUCUUUUAUAAAGGAAUCAAGUGAGGCACGUGUGCCUUUUUGUAUGUACUUUAUGAAUAAGGAUCGGCUAACUCCGUGCCAGCAGCCGCGGUAAUACGGUGGAUCCGAGCGUUAUACGGAUUUAUUGGGUUUAAAGGGAGCGUAGAUGGGUUGUUAAGUCAGUUGUGAAAGUUUGCGGCUCAACCGUAAAAGUGCAAUUGAUAAUGGCAGUCUUGAGUACAGUGGAGGUAGGCGGAAUUCGUGGUGUAGCGGUGAAAUGCUUAGAUAUCACGAAGAACUACGAUUGCGAAGGCAGCUUACUAAACUGCCACUGACAUUGAUGCUCGAAAGUGUGGGUAUCAAACAGGAUUAGAUACCCCAGUAGUC
rnacentral:rRNA from 1 species